GGCGUUGUAGCUGAGCUGGUAAAGCGCGACGUCGUCACCGCCGACCUUGAGGUCGCUGAGCUUGCUCAGUUGGGUGUCAUCCAAGGCGACUUUUGCCAACGGCUCCA
rnacentral:tRNA from 1 species